CGCCCGUAGGACCCAGACAGAGGUGGCCGGAGAGAAGCCUGCGCGCCCCGCGGGAGGCUCCGCCCCGCGGCCUCAAGCUCCGGACGUAAUUCUGAAAGCCCCGGGACUUUCUUCCCACUAGAGUAAAGCCUAAGAGGUGCAGGCCGGGAAGAUGCCUGUUGGACAGCGCGGGGCCUAGAACUGCCACUAGGGAGCACUAAUGUCGCUCCAAGAACAACUAUGGGUUUUGACCCCAGGGAUCUCACUCAGCUUCCUCUGCCCCUGACACUGGGACUGAUGGAGGAGGAUCCUGGAGUCAGACUUGGGAAUAAAACAGGAAGUCCUGACAUCCCAAAUCCAGGCUGAUGACGACUGGCUAGUUGUUCUGCUAGCAGAAGUCUGACCCUCGAGUUCACAGUGAAAUGCAGUGAGGUCUCUAUAUCCAGCAGAAAUGGCCACAGCUUAAAUCCCACAGCUCCCAGCGGGCUAAGCCUUUCACCAUCACUUCUAAUUCCUCCAGUAGUGAGAAGCGUGUGGGAGCUCACAGGUCAGGGCACCAGAGCCGUGCCUUGAGGUGAUGCGCAUUGAAGGGUUCUUGCGGAAUGUCGGGGAACUGAACACUGGCAGCGUGCUUAUACGGUCUCACCUGUGGGUCAUCCUUUCGUCUCUGCACCCUCCUGUAUGAACCUCUGCAGCUCCUCACUCUGCCCUUGGACCGCUGAGGCGGCCCAGUGUCGCCACGAGUGGGUGGAGGCUCACUGCUCGGCCGGCAGCUUGUUCUUCCUUCUGAUCCUCCCCGUCUGGGAAGCUCUGAAGAGAGGGGCUUGCUUGUAGUUCGGCUGUUUGAGAGACCUAACAAGGACUCACACAUGUCCUGCCUGGAAGCAAUGGCUUCAACAAUAUUAACUUGAAAUGAGCUAGGGUUUUACUAUAUAUCCCUACCUACCUUGGCACUUAUUUUGUAGUAUGGCUAGCCUUGAACUCCUAACAAUCCUUUUUAUUCCUUUUUUGUAUAUUACAUCCCAACCCCCAGUUUCCCCUUCCUCCCAGUCUCCCUGCCCCGAUCCACCCCUCUUCCCCAGGUCUCCCGAAUGCUGGGAUUACAGGUAUGGAGUGGCACCACCUUGUCCCAUGGCAGAGAUUCCAGUUCCUCUUCACAUCCUCCUGACACGUGUCAAGGUCCCUGGAGGCACUUCCGGUGCCCCUCAUGCUGUCAAGUGCAGUUCUGCCCUCUGCCCCUUCCCCUGCUUGGCAGUCUUCUGACACACUCACCCUUGCUCUCUCUGGAUCCUUGAUCACAGUCUCAAUGGGUUUUCAAAUUGGUUUUUGAGACAGAGUUUCUCUGUGUAGCCUGGUUGUCCUGGAACUUGCUCCGUAGAGCAGGCUGGCUUUGAACUCAGAUCUGCUUGCCUCUGUUGCUUAGUGCUGGUAUUGAAGGCAUACAUGACUACUGCCCGGCAUCAUUUAUUCUUUUUAUGAGACAAAGUCUUUCAGUGCAGUGCAGACUCUCCCGACCCUCAAGCCUCCAGCCAGCCUCCCGAGAGCUGGGAUUUCAUGUGUCGCUAGCAGAGCCAGCUAAGCUCAGACUCUGCAUGAGCUUCCUUCAUCACUCAGGAAGAUCAAGGUUUGGGGGAGUUGCCACACCAACCAACCCCAGUAGAAUCUGUGUGACAAGCUCCACAGACUGAGGUGAUAGACUUCAAAAGAAGGAGGUCUCCUGGAAACGGUUGUGGAACUCCUGGCCGGAGCAAAAAUAUUGAGCCAUAGUUCUCAUGGCAACUUAUCUGUUUUGUUUUCUUCCUUUUCUUAUUUACAUGUUCCUGUCAGCCUAGGCCAAGAUCUUAAGCAAGAAUAAUGGGUAAGAAACCAUCCCUUGAGAUGGGGUCACUAACAUGACCUUUAUCUCUGGGGAAACCAACGCUUUACUUUAUAAAUCAUUUACAAAAUUAUAUAAUAGUAUUAUGAUAGAUAAAAACUUUCCCAACAAUAAAAUUUCAUAAGGCUGCAUGUGUGUCAUCAAAGGUGGGCUUUGGUAUAUGGUAAAGAAAGCCUUAAAUAGAAUUGAAAUAGUUAUGUGUUGAAGAUUUAUAAAAAAUAAAUCAGGCAUUAGAUGUUAAACAAUCAUUGACCAUAAAGAUUUAUUAACCUUCUCUUGGAAAUAUGCCACUAGCCUAGGAUGACUGCCCCACUGAACACAUCCUUUCAAAGUUGUUUACACUUCAAUGAUUUCUAUUAACAAUCAUGUCACCUGUUCUGUUUGUGAUCCACUGAUCAUCUUUUCAGAGUUGUAACGCUUGGAUGAUUUUGUGCUUUACUGUGCCAAAUGAUAAUGAUAGUAUUUGUGAUUGCUUCACUGAAAACAUUUUCUAAGAGUUUGUUUUUUUAAUGUAUUAAAAAUCCCUGCUUGAGAGCUGUAAAAUACACUGAUUCAAACUGCC